rnacentral:rRNA from 1 species
CGAGCGGCGAACGGGUGAGUAACACGUGGGUGAUCUGCCUCGCACUUCGGGAUAAGCCUGGGAAACUGGGUCUAAUACCGGAUAUGACCUGCUGUCGCAUGGCGGUGGGUGGAAAGAUUUAUCGGUGCGAGAUGGGCCCGCGGCCUAUCAGCUUGUUGGUGGGGUAAUGGCCUACCAAGGCGACGACGGGUAGCCGGCCUGAGAGGGCGACCGGCCACACUGGGACUGAGACACGGCCCAGACUCCUACGGGAGGCAGCAGUGGGGAAUAUUGCACAAUGGGCGAAAGCCUGAUGCAGCGACGCCGCGUGAGGGAUGACGGCCUUCGGGUUGUAAACCUCUUUCGACAGGGACGAAGCGCAAGUGACGGUACCUGUAGAAGAAGCACCGGCCAACUACGUGCCAGCAGCCGCGGUAAUACGUAGGGUGCGAGCGUUGUCCGGAAUUACUGGGCGUAAAGAGCUUGUAGGCGGUUUGUCGCGUCGUCUGUGAAAACUCACAGCUCAACUGUGAGCUUGCAGGCGAUACGGGCAGACUUGAGUACUGCAGGGGAGACUGGAAUUCCUGGUGUAGCGGUGAAAUGCGCAGAUAUCAGGAGGAACACCGGUGGCGAAGGCGGGUCUCUGGGCAGUAACUGACGCUGAGAAGCGAAAGCGUGGGUAGCGAACAGGAUUAGAUACCCUGGUAGUCCACGCCGUAAACGGUGGGCGCUAGGUGUGGGUUUCCUUCCACGGGAUCCGUGCCGUAGCUAACGCAUUAAGCGCCCCGCCUGGGGAGUACGGCCGCAAGGCUAAAACUCAAAGGAAUUGACGGGGGCCCGCACAAGCGGCGGAGCAUGUGGAUUAAUUCGAUGCAACGCGAAGAACCUUACCUGGGUUUGACAUACACCGGAAACCUGCAGAGAUGUAGGCCCCCUUGUGGUCGGUGUACAGGUGGUGCAUGGCUGUCGUCAGCUCGUGUCGUGAGAUGUUGGGUUAAGUCCCGCAACGAGCGCAACCCUUGUCCUGUGUUGCCAGCGCGUUAUGGCGGGGACUCGCAGGAGACUGCCGGGGUCAACUCGGAGGAAGGUGGGGACGACGUCAAGUCAUCAUGCCCCUUAUGUCCAGGGCUUCACACAUGCUACAAUGGCCGGUACAGAGGGCUGCGAUACCGUGAGGUGGAGCGAAUCCCUUAAAGUCGGUCUCAGUUCGGAUCGGGGUCUGCAACUCGACCCCGUGAAGUUGGAGUCGCUAGUAAUCGCAGAUC